rnacentral:tRNA from 1 species
GGGUAUAGCUAGUGGUGGAGCACAUGCUUAGCAUGCAUGAGGUUCUGGGUUCAAUCCCCAGUAACUCCA